GAUGAACGCUGGCGGCGUGCCUAAUACAUGCCAGUCGAGCGAACAGACGAUGAGCUUUCUCCUUUGCCGUUGGCGGCGGGCGGGUGAGUAAGACGUAGGUAACCUACCUAUAAGUCGGGGGUAAUUACGGGAAACCGCUUCUAAUACUGGCUAAUAUGUCCAACCGCAUGGUUCGAUAGUGAAAGAUGGCUUUCCUGUCUCUUAUAGCUGGACCUGCGCCGGAUUAGCUAGUUGGUAAGGUAACGGCCUACCAAGGCGACGAUCCGUAGCCGACCUGAGAGGAUGAUCAGCCACACUGGAACUGAGACACGGUCCAGACUCCUACGGGAGGCAGCAGUGGGGAAUCUUCCGCAAUGGGCGAAAGCCUGACGGAGCAACGCCGCGUGAGUGAUGAAGGUCUUCGGAUCGUAAAGCCCUGUUAUUGGGGAAGAACAAACGUAGAAGAAAAUGUCGCCGUCUUGACGGUACCUAAUCAGAAAGCCACGGCUAACUACGUG
rnacentral:rRNA from 1 species